rnacentral:pre_miRNA from 1 species
UAGUCUUUCUACGAGAUGAAGCAUAGUCUUUCUACGUUCAUCUCGUAGAAAGACUAUGGUUCAUCUCGUAGAAAGACUA